rnacentral:lncRNA from 1 species
CUUCUCCUUGGCAGCCAGCAGAGGGGAAGAGGAGCUCACGGAAAAGAAAAGCAGGGAGGCGAGGUUAAGAAUAAAGCGUGUUCCAGGCCCAGAAUUAUCAGGAAGUUCCUAGUCUCAUCUCUUAGCAGUUGUGAGCUUUUCCUACCCAUCUGCUAAUCCUCCAGGUAUGGGCCGGACCAGGGACACAGCAGAAAGGAUGGAAGGAGAGUUUCUC